rnacentral:rRNA from 1 species
GAUGAACGCUGGCGGCGUGCCUAAUACAUGCAAGUCGAGCGAACAGACGAGGAGCUUGCUCCUCUGACGUUAGCGGCGGACGGGUGAGUAACACGUGGAUAACCUACCUAUAAGACUGGGAUAACUUCGGGAAACCGGAGCUAAUACCGGAUAAUAUAUUGAACCGCAUGGUUCACUAGUGAAAGACGGUUUUGCUGUCACUUAUAGAUGAAUCCGCGCCGCAUUAGCUAGUUGGUAAGGUAACGGCUUACCCAGGCAACGAUGCGUAGCCGACCUGAGAGGGUGAUCGGCCACACUGGAAGUGAGACACGGUCCAGACUCCUACGGGAGGCAGCAGUAGGGAAUCUUACGCAAUGGGCGAAAGCCUGACGGAGCAACGCCGCGUGAGUGAUGAAGGUCUUCGGAUCGUAAAACUCUGUUAUUAGGGAAGAACAAAUGUGUAAGUAACUAUGCACGUCUUGACGGUACCUAAUCAGAAAGCCACGGCUAACUACGUG